rnacentral:rRNA from 1 species
GACGAACGCUGGCGGCGUGCUUAACACAUGCAAGUCGAACGGAAAGGCCCUGCUAUUGUGGGGUGCUCGAGUGGCGAAAGGGUGAGUAACACGGGAGUAACCUGCCCUUGACUUUGGGAUAACUUCAGGAAACUGGGGCUAAUACCGGAUAGGAGCUCCUGCUGCAUGGUGGGGGUUGGAAAGUUUCGUCGGUAGGGGAUGGACUCGCGUCUUAUCAGCUUGUUGGUGGGGUAGUGGCUUACCAAGGCUAUGACCGGUAGCCGGCCUGGGAGGGUGACCGGUCGGAUUGGAGAUGAGACACGGACCAAAAUCGGACGCGACGCAGCAGUGGGGAAUAUUGUACAAUGGGGGAAAAUCUGAUGCAGCCGCGCCGCGUGAGCGGGGAAGGGGUUCGUAUCGCAAUGUUCUGUCCUACGGGAAGAGAAUGACGGUACUGGAGAAGGAAGCACCGGCUAAAUACGUG